rnacentral:rRNA from 1 species
AGUGGCGCAAGGGUGAGUAAGGCGACGGCAACCAACCCCAUGGUUGGGCAUAGCCGCGGGAAACUGCGGGUAAUUCCCAGCGAUGUUCAAAGCGGGCAUCCGCUUGGAACCAAAGUUUCGGCGCCGUGGGACGGACCGUCGUGGUAUUAGAUUGUUGGCGGGGUAAUGGCCCACCAAGCCUCUGAUGCCUACCGGGCGUGCGAGCGUGGCCCGGCACACUGGGACUGAGACACUGCCCAGACUCCUACGGGAGGCUGCAGUCGAGAAUCUUCGGCAAUGGGCGCAAGCCUGACCGAGCGACGCCGCGUGGAGGAUGAAGGCCUUCGGGUUGUAAACUCCUGUCGAGGGGGAGGAAGGCGCAAGCUUGACCGAUCCCUGGAGGAAGCACGGGCUAAGUUCGUGCCAGCAGCCGCGGUAAGACGAACCGUGCGAACGUUAUUCGGAAUCACUGGGCUUAAAGCGCGUGUAGGCGGAUGGGGACGUCGGUUGCUGAAAGCCCCCGGCUCAACCGGGGAACGGGCACCGA